rnacentral:tRNA from 1 species
UCCUGAGUAGCUCAGCGGUAGAGCGGGUGGCUGUUAACCACCAUGUCGUAGGUUCGAUCCCUACCUCAGGAGCCA